rnacentral:rRNA from 1 species
UACAGAGGGUGCUAGCGUUGUUCGGAAUCAUUGGGCGUAAAGGGCGCGUAGGCGGCCACCGCAAGUCAGUUGUGAAAUCUCUGGGCUUAACCCAGAACGGUCAGCUGAUACUGCGGGGCUAGAGUGCAGAAGGGGGCAACUGGAAUUCUCGGUGUAGCGGUGAAAUGCGUAGAUAUCGAGAGGAACACCUGCGGCGAAGGCGGGUUGCUGGGCUGACACUGACGCUGACAGCGCGAAAGCUAGGGGAGCGAACGGG